UAUGAUAAGAGUAAUUAAAAUUAUUAAUUCAUUCAUUCAUUCCAGCUUUAUUAUGUAAAUUAUGCAUUUAAAUACAUAUAUUUACAUAAUGCAUCUUUCUUGAAAUAUCAAGGUUCCAAUCUAUUACACAAUACAUUGCUUAAUUCUGGUUCUUUGGUAAUAUUAUUAUUUUGUCUACAUCUGUGCAAACUCGGAAAUAUGUUUUUAUCUACUAUAUUAGUUUUCUUCGUGUUUCUAAACAACGCUGAACUAUAUCCAGUGAGAAAGGAGGACGCGGUACAAUUAACAAAUUAUGAAGCUAAAAUAAAUUCUGAUGGAUAUGAAUAUAAAUAUCACACUGAUAAUGGUAUAAUUAUCAAAGAAAAAGGUACAUUCAAAGAUAUUAAUGGACAAGCAGUACCAAUAGUAACAGGACAUUACUUAAUUGUACACCCAGAGAUAGGUAAAAUUCAUGCAGUUGUAUACAAGGUCGACGAAAAAGGAUUGAAACUACAGUUUAAAAUAGGAUCCGAAACUGAUGAUAAAAUUGACACAUGCGUUUAUGCAACACUUUGUGGUGGUGUAGGAUAAAAUAAAUACCACAAAAAAUUAUACCACUUAUUUGAUUUUAAUUGGCAAUAUAUGAUUUAUAAUCUUAUUUUAUAUUUAAUGUAAUAGAUGUAUGCUUGUAUUUUUAAUAAAAGUAAUAUUAAUAUUUA